GCUGGGCAUAGUGGUGCCCACCUACCAUCCCAGCUACUCAGGAGGCUGAGGCAGGAGAAUUGCUUGAGCCCAGGAAUUGAAGGCCACUGGGCAAUGUGGCAAGACCCCACCUCAA
rnacentral:sRNA from 1 species